rnacentral:rRNA from 1 species
GCUUAACACAUGCAAGUCGAGCGGUAACAUUUCUAGCUUGCUAGAAGAUGACGAGCGGCGGACGGGUGAGUAACGCGUAGGAAUCUGCCUAGUAGUGGGGGACAACAUGUGGAAACGCAUGCUAAUACCGCAUACGCCCUACGGGGGAAAGGAGGGGAUCUUCGGACCUUUCGCUAUUAGAUGAGCCUGCGUGAGAUUAGCUAGUUGGUGGGGUAAAGGCCUACCAAGGCGACGAUCUCUAGCUGGCCUGAGAGGAUGAUCAGCCACACUGGGACUGAGACACGGCCCAGACUCCUACGGGAGGCAGCAGUGGGGAAUAUUGGACAAUGGGCGCAAGCCUGAUCCAGCCAUGCCGCGUGUGUGAAGAAGGCCUUAGGGUUGUAAAGCACUUUCAGGAGUGAGGAAGGGCGUAUAGUUAAUACCUGUAUGUUUUGACGUUAACUCCAGAAGAAGCACCGGCUAGCUCUGUGCCAGCAGCCGCGGUAAUACAGAGGGUGCGAGCGUUAAUCGGAAUUACUGGGCGUAAAGCGCGCGUAGGCGGUUUGUUAAGUCGGAUGUGAAAUCCCAGGGCUCAACCUUGGAAUG